rnacentral:rRNA from 1 species
AUUGAACGCUGGCGGCACGCUUUACACAUGCAAGUCGAACGGCAGCGCGGGCUUCGGCCUGGCGGCGAGUGGCGAACGGGUGAGUAAUACAUCGGAACGUGCCCAGUAGUGGGGGAUAGCUCGGCGAAAGCCGGAUUAAAACCGCAUACGACCUGAGGGUGAAAGCGGGGGAUCUUCGGACCUCGCGCUAUUGGAGCGGCCGAUGGCAGAUUAGCUAGUUGGUGGGGUAAAGGCCUACCAAGGCGACGAUCUGUAGCUGGUCUGAGAGGACGACCAGCCACACUGGGACUGAGACACGGCCCAGACUCCUACGGGAGGCAGCAGUGGGGAAUUUUGGACAAUGGGCGAAAGCCUGAUCCAGCAAUGCCGCGUGUGUGAUGAGGGCCUUCGGGUUGUAAAGCACUUUUGGCGGGAACGAAAAGGACUGUGCCAAUACCACGGUUCGAUGACGGUACCCGCAGAAUAAGCACCGGCUAACUACGUG